rnacentral:lncRNA from 1 species
UUUCAUAGUUAAUAGAAAUCUUAAAUAACUUGUAUAAGUUUUAUAAGUAAAAGUAGAAGUAUUAGGGUUAUUUAAUAAGAAAGAUGUAGAAAGAUAUGGGUAUUGAUAUUAUAGUAUUGUGGCCUUAGGCCAUCUGCAUGGAUAGAUAAGGCAAGGAUAAGAGGAUCUUCACUCUCAUUGGCUAUAGGUCAUCACCAAUGAGCUUCAAGGGGCUCUCCGAGAGAAAACCGAAGAGGAGGCCACUUCUUCACGGAGACAUUUGAAGGUUUAGAGGAGAGAUUCAGAAAACUUGUAUUUUCGGCUAUAAUUUUGGUAUAUAAAGUUUUUUUUUGAGUUUUGUAUGAAGUUAAGGUUGUUUGAAGUUAGGGUAUGAAUUGUUUACCGACUGUUACUCUUUUAAGCAUACAGAAAGAUGUAAAAGGUU